rnacentral:lncRNA from 1 species
UGAGGUCGAAAUAAAAGGGUCAAAUUAAUCUAAUGAUGUGAAUCCGAUUUUUACCUAAAUCAAUGUUUUUAUUUAACUACAUGAUUAAUAUUAUACUUUAUUAAAUAAUAAUUAUUAUUAUACUUUAUUAUGGACCCAUUAUUAGCAUGUUUAUUAGGAACUUGUAUAUUGACGUGCUGGCCAUGUUUCCUACCCUGUUUUUGGGUUUGUCCCUUUGUCCCUCUCCCAUUUAUCGUGAUCAGGGAAGAAAGGAGAGAUUCCAAAUUAGAACAUCCCAGUCAGCAGGCCUACCAAUUUUUAAACACCAACAAUGGCGAUUACUUUUAUUUAAUUUGGACUAAAAAUGGUUUCAGAUUCAAAAAGCAAAUAUAGAAAUAAUCUCUUUG